rnacentral:rRNA from 1 species
UACGUAGGUGGCAAGCGUUGUCCGGAUUUACUGGGCGUAAAGAGCGCGCAGGCGGUCGGAUAAGUCGAAUGUGAAAGCCCCCCGGCUCAACUGGGGAGGGUCAUUCGAUACUGUUCGACUCGAAGGCAGGAGAGGGAAGUGGAAUUCCCGGUGUAGUGGUGAAAUGCGUAGAUAUCGGGAGGAACACCAGUGGCGAAGGCGACUUCCUGGCCUGUUCUUGACGCUGAGGCGCGAAAAGCUAGGGGAGCAAACGGGG